AAGCUUCCUCCCCUUCCUCUUCCUCUUCCUCAUAAUCUUCCACAUCAGCUGUUGCAUCCUGAUACUGCUGAUACUCUGCCACCAAGUCAUUCAUAUUGCUUUCGGCCUCAGUGAACUCCAUCUCGUCCAUGCCCUCGCCAGUGUACCAGUGCAAGAAAGCCUUCCUCCUGAACAUGGCGGUGAACUGCUCGCUCACCCGCCUGAACAUCUCCUGGAUGGAGGUUGAGUUCCCAAUGAAAGUGGAUGCCAUCUUCAGCCCCUUGGGUGGAAUGUCACACACACUGGAUUUGACAUUGUUUGGUAUCCACUCGACGAAGUAGGAGCUGUUCUUGUUCUGAACAUUGAUCAUCUGCUCAUCGACCUCCUUGGUGCUCAUCUUUCCACGGAACAUGGCUGAGGCGGUCAGGUAACGGCCGUGACGGGGGUCGGCGGCACACAUCAUGUUCUUGGCAUCCCACAUCUGUUGGGUCAACUCAGGAACAGUGAGGGCCCUGUAUUGCUGGGAGCCCCUUGAUGUCAGUGGUGCGAACCCCACCAUGAAGAAGUGGAGGCGGGGGAAGGGAAUCAGGUUCACGGCAAGCUUCCGGAGGUCAGAAUUGAGCUGACCAGGGAACCGGAGGCAGCAGGUGACACCACUCAUUGUAGCAGAGAUGAGGUGAUUAAGAUCUCCGACUGAAGUAUAAAUUAGAUGAUGAAUAAAUAAAAGUGCGAUAAGAAGACUAAAUUUAAACUACUGAUACCAUUAUUCUUCGGUACCAUCAAGAAGAUUAGAAUUCCGAAACAAUUUUAUUUUCAGUUAUUCAAUCUAAAAAUCAAGUAUUAAGCAAUGAAGAAAUGUAACUUCAUGUUCCUAUAACUGACUAAAGUAAAGAGAAACUACUGAAACACUAUUCGAGGAUAAGGACUCGUGAUAUAGUUAGUAGAGUUAUCAGAUGUUCUGAUGGAUGAUGAAAACAAAACACUACUGUGGAUAGAAAAAAAAAAAUUUUGUAGAACUAUACAAGUGAAGGAGAAGAAAAAAGGUACAUGCAUCACAAGACAAAGGCAUGCAUGCAAAGGGCAUGGAGAUAAAAAUUGGCUUAUGUAUUAAUAUUUAAUGUAAAACAGGAUAUGCUAAAUUCUAGAAAUUAAAGGGAAAAUGUACAAUAGUUUCUUAAACAAGUUAUAAAUUAAAGUUACAAGAUAAGAUUAAUUAAUGGGAGAGGAACAUGUACCACUGGUUUUUCAAGUUCCUUAAUAUUAACAUAUGGGGAUUCUUUGUGCAAUAACCAUUAAAAUGAUUUAAUUUAUAACAUAGUUUUCACUUACAGGUUGGGGUUGCAAGCUUUAGUGUGCGGAAGCAAAUGUCAUACAGUGCUUCAUUGUCCAGCACCAUACAUUCAUCAGCAUUCUCAACAAGCUGAUGCACUGAGAGAGUAGCAUUAUAUGGUUCCACAACUGUAUCAGAGACCUUUGGUGAUGGAAAAACAGAGAAUGUCAGCAUCAUGCGAUCUGGAUACUCCUCUCUGAUCUUGGAGAUGAGAAGUGUGCCCAUGCCAGAACCAGUACCUCCUCCUAAAGAAUGGCAGACUUGGAACCCUGCAGAACAGGUUAACCAGAUGUAGCAGGUUCACAGAGAGCAGAAAAAAGGUGCCUUUUUAUCUUGCUUUUCUUUGCCUUCAUGAGGAGUAAGAUAACAUGUUUGAAACAGAUUUGAUUUUAUAUAUAUAUAUAUAUAUGUGUGUGUGUGUAUGUGUGUGUGUGUGUGUGUGUGUGUGUGUGUGUGCGCGCCAAAAGAACUAUAUUUAGUAUUUAACCAUCUUGUAACAUGUGCGCUGGUCUCACACAAAAAUUAGUUCAACAUAGCCAUAUGUAUCUGCAGGUAGAAAGCUUUGAAGUUUGCAAGGAAGAACAAUAUGAAAAAGCAGAUUGUACAAAUCAUUUGAAAUCUUCAAAUGGUCUUUAUCUGAAGUAUUCAUUUACUUUUUCUUUUGCAGAGAAGACCUUCUGAGGUUGGCACAAGUUGGACAAUGAAUAACUAAGUCUUAGACUUUCAAUAAUUCCUGCUACAAACAUCUCCAGCUUACAAUAGUUUAUACUAGAUCAAGAAUUAACGUUACAAGAAUUUUGGCCAAAUGUUCAUCAUCCUAGAAAGCUGAAGUAUUGGCUAAAGAAGAACGCCACAAAUCUCAAUAAUUACAUCUAAUUAGUUUUAUACAACAUUAACAUAGUGCAGGAAUUUUCUUAAAGGAACUGGAUGAACAUCUUAUAAUAGUUUAUGCUAGAUCAAGAAUUAACUUUAGAAGAAUUUUGGCCAAAUGUUCAUCAUCCUAGAACGCUGAAGUGUUGGCUAAAGAAGCAUGCCACAAAUCUCAACAAUUACUUCUAAUUAGUUUUAAACCAGCAUUCACAUAGUGCAGGCAUGUGCUUUAAGGAACCGGAUGAACAUCAACAACUAGAAUUAAUUUUUAUCUGUGCGUGAAAUUUUCAGCACAACUACACAUGACAAAAUAUUAAUUGUUUAACUCUACAAUUGUAUAUACUUCGCGGGACCAUAUAAACAUAUACAAAAGAGUUGAAGUCUAAAGAGCAAAAAGAUCAAACCAAUUAGACCAACUGGGAGUAAGAUAAAGAUCAAGGGACAAUAUUUUCCUUCAACAGCGAAUACAGAGCAGAAAUAAUGAAUUCCAACACUAUUCUGCAGAAAAAAAUCCUUGUUCGAAUACUCAAACCAUACCCAGCUCCAAGAAGUAUACCGUAAGCAAAACAAACAAAAAGACCUCAGAUUCAUUACAUCAAACAACCAGAUACGACAUUCACAAAAUAGAUUAAAAAAAUAGUAAAAUUCCAACAUCCCUAAUUUCUCCAGCAUGAAGAUGAGAACCACAACGUUUAAUGAUGCAUUCGUUAACCACUAAUGCAAGGUCAGAUCAUUCAUACAGAGAAGUCGAGCAUAGAAAUCAGACAGGGGUAGUUUAGCAUUCAUUUAACUCCACAAGAAAUCACAAAAAUAGGAUUUUUUACAUAUAAGUUAGCAAUUAUCAAAUGAAAUCUUCCAUAUACUUAGCAGAAUUUGAACAAUAGCUAAUAAAAUCUUAAGAAUCAAGAAGAUUUUAGAAAGGAUCUGGUCUAAAUAUGAACCAUGA
rnacentral:lncRNA from 1 species